GGGAGUGCCCGAGAAGGAUCAUCGAGGAAACUCAGACUGUGGAUAAGAAGCCACCGAAUGACCAAGGUAAACUUUGAGGCCUCAGAACCAGGAAUUGGAUAAGACCUAAGGGGCACAGAGGCCCCAAUGUCGCCAAGUGUGGGAGAGGGUUUUGGCCCACUAUGUGCCUCAGGGGGGAUACCGGAAUGAUAGAAAGUGGUACGAUUUUAUGAGUGGCCGACUGUAGCAAGGAGAAUCAGACUCCCCGGAGAGCUGUGAGGUUGUUUUUUUGCCCAAGAAAGCUCCAGGGGGCAUGUACCACAUUCACUGCUGGUGUCCAAGAAUAA
rnacentral:lncRNA from 1 species